GAUGAAGAACGUAGCGAAAUGCGAUAAGUAAUGUGAAUUGCAGAAUUCAGUGAAUCAUCGAAUCUUUGAACGCACCUUGCGCCCUUUGGACAUUCCGAAGGGCAUGCCUGUUUGAGUAUCAUGAACACCUCAACUCUCACGGCUUGUCCGUGAUGAGCUUGGACUUUGGGGGUCUUGCCGGCCUGUGGUCGGCUCCUCUCAAAUGGAUCAGCUUGCCAGUGUUUGGUGGCAUCACAGGUGUGAUAACUAUCUGCGCUUGUGGUUUUCCAUCAGAUAACCUUCAGUGAUAUGGAGGUUCGCUGGAGCUCACGAAUGUCUCUCCUUAGUGAGGACAGCUCUUUGAACGUUUGAUCUCAAAUCAGGUAGGACUACCCGCUGAACUUAAGCAUAUCAAUAAGCGGAGGA
rnacentral:misc_RNA from 1 species